rnacentral:rRNA from 1 species
AACUAAAUAGGAUUCCCUUAGUAAUGGCGAAUGAACAGGGAACAGCUCAGCAUGGAAAUCGGGGCCUCCCGGCCUUGAAUUGUAGUCUGGAGAUGUGCUGCCAACGGAGGCGCAGAUGUAAGCCUCUUGGAAAAGAGCAUCAACGAGGGUGAGAGUCCUGUUUGUCAUCUGCAGUCCCCCGUGCACGGUGCGCGUUUGACGAGUCACGUUCCUCGGGAUUGGAGCGCAAAGUGGGUGGUAAAUUUCAUCUAAAGCUAAAUACUGGUUCGAGACCGAUAGCAAACAAGUACCAUGAGGGAAAGGUGAAAAGGACUUUGAAAAGAGAGUUAAAAGUGCCUGAAAUCGCUGAAAGGGAAGCGAAUGGAACCAGUGUUCUUGGUGAGAUUGUUGCGCACUCUGGGGAUUGCUGGCUGUUCAACCGCAAGGGGAGCAGUUGGUUUUGACUUAGCGGUGCGUGGUGUUUCUUGCCCUGUGUGUCACCGUCGGUGCACCAGCGAGUAAACCACCAAGGGCAUGGUACCUCACCCACGGGUGGGCGAAUACCUUUGGCUGCACUCAUUGGUGUAUCGAUCCCUGCGUGUCUGGUUGCAGUGCUCAGUUCGUCUCAGUGCUUCUGCGGGGUUCGUCUCUGUGGGAGUUUCCUGGGGCGCGCGGGGCAUCUCCCUGACACAAAGACGAUGACUAAAUGGUUCUAUUC